rnacentral:ncRNA from 1 species
GAGACUAUUAUGGAAAUACGUGCUAUGUAUUAAAGAGAGAAAUUUAACUUAUGUACAUGAAUAAAACAUAUGAACUCUUAGAGAAAUUAUUUAAUAAACGAAGUGAAUUGAAAUAUCUUAUUAACUUCAGGAAAAAAAAUCAAACGAGAUUCUAUGAUUAGUGUGAACUAAAAUAGAGUAGCCUAUAUAAAUAAGUAAAAUGGCCUAAAAGCUGUUUGAAUUUAUGGGGAACCUUCCUCAAAGCCUAAAUAUAAUACAUGAGCGACAGUGAAAAGUACCGUGAGGGAAAAUUUUUUUGAAAUAGUAGUUUUAUAAGCAGCUCAAGCUGAUAAUAAAAAGCAAGAGCGUACCUUUUGCAUAAUGGGUCACCAAGUUAACAUUAGAUGCGAGCUAAUUAUCUUGAUUUGAUAGAUGACAUGCAUAGUUAAACCGAUCAUUAAAAUAAUGAAUAGUGUCUAAAGUUAGACCCGAAGCCUAGUGAUCUUACUAUAGUCAGGGCUAUAAAGGUCCGAACGGGUUAUCGUUGCAAAGAUAUCCGAAGAACUAUGGUAAGCGAGUGAAAGACAACACUGACUAGGAUAGCUGGUUUUCUGCGAAACCUAUAAAAGUAGGCAGUUUAAGUAACAUCUUAGCAGGUACAGAACUUUAUCUCAGACAAGAUGUAUAUUCUCAUAUGGAUAAGUAAGGCGCGGCGCGGCGAAAGCUCUUCCUCGCUAUUUAUCUAUUUAUAUGAAAUACAUUUUAUUUGUAUACAUCGGGGGAUCGUGAAGAUUUUAUCGGUGAGUAUGUAGACUCGGAAUGACAAAGAUGGUUCUUGAAUUAUCGGACAUAGAAUGCUAAGGUUGUAUGUCAAAAGGGAAACAGCCCAGAACAAAGAAAUAGUUAAGGUUCCAAAAUUAUUAUUAAGUGAAAUUAAGAGGGUUUUUAUAUAAGUCGACAAGAAGAUAGGCCUGGAAGCAGCCAUAUUUUAAAGACCUCGUAACAGAGCACUUGUUAAAUCUUAAAAGCAUCGAAAAUUUAUCGGAUCUAAAUAAUAUACCGAAACUUUGUCCACAAAUGACCAUAAUAAAUUAAGUUAUGGUCAUUUUUGUGGGGUAGCAGAACGUUGAGUUAAUAUUUGACUUUUCUUUUUUAAAGAAAAAUAUAGGACAACUCAAGUGAUAAUGGUGACAUGAGUAACAAAAAAGAAGGGC